GCUACCAUGCAGUCGAACGGUAACAGGUCUUCGGACGCUGACGAGUGGCGAACGGGUGAGUAAUACAUCGGAACGUGCCCAGUCGUGGGGGAUAACUACUCGAAAGAGUAGCUAAUACCGCAUACGAUCUGAGGAUGAAAGCGGGGGACCUUCGGGCCUCGCGCGAUUGGAGCGGCCGAUGGCAGAUUAGGUAGUUGGUGGGAUAAAAGCUUACCAAGCCGACGAUCUGUAGCUGGUCUGAGAGGACGACCAGCCACACUGGGACUGAGACACGGCCCAGACUCCUACGGGAGGCAGCAGUGGGGAAUUUUGGACAAUGGGCGAAAGCCUGAUCCAGCAAUGCCGCGUGCAGGAUGAAGGCCUUCGGGUUGUAAACUGCUUUUGUACGGAACGAAAAAGCUUCUCCUAAUACGAGAGGCCCAUGACGGUACCGUAAGAAUAAGCACCGGCUAACUACGUGCCAGCAGCCGCGGUAAUACGUAGGGUGCAAGCGUUAAUCGAUUACUGGCGUAAGCGUGCGCAGGCGGUUAUGUAAGACAGAUGUGAAAUCCCCGGCUCACUGGAACUGCAUUUGUGACUGCAUGGCUAGAGUACGGUA
rnacentral:rRNA from 1 species